GGGGGGCCCAUUUCCCCCGGUUUUUUGUGCCGCAAGCUAAACCCAUUAAGCCCCCCCGCCUUGGGGAGGUACGGCCGGCAAGGCUAAAAACUCAAAAGGAAUUGGACGGGGGCCCGCACAAGCGGCGGAGCAUGUGGGAUUAAUUCGAUGCAACGCGAAAGAACCUUUACCUGGGUUUGACAUGCACCAGACGCAUCCAGAGAUGGGUGUUCCCUUGUGGUUGGUGUGCAGGUGGUGCAUGGCUGUCGUCAGCUCGUGUCGUGAGAUGUUGGGUUAAGUCCCGCAACGAGCGCAACCCUCGUUCCAUGUUGCCAGCACGCAGCUUGCUGUGGUGGGGACUCAUGGGAGACUGCCGGGGUCAACUCGGAGGAAGGUGGGGAUGACGUCAAGUCAUCAUGCCCCUUAUGUCCAGGGCUUCACACGUGCUACAAUGGCCGGUACAAAGAGCUGCGAAACCGUGAGGUGGAGCGAAUCUCAAAAAGCCGGUCUCAGUUCGGAUUGGGGUCUGCAACUCGACCCCAUGAAGUCGGAGUUGCUAGUAAUCGCAGAUCAGCAUUGCUGCGGUGAAUACGUUCCCGGGCCUUGUACACACCGCCCGUCACGUCACGAAAGUCGGUAACACCCGAAGCCGGUGGCCCAACCCCUUGUGGGAGGGAGCUGUCGAAGGUGGGGCUGG
rnacentral:rRNA from 1 species